GAGAACCUCCGGGGGCAAGAGGUUCGACUCGAGCGAAGCGAGAGAACGUUGCGUCAGCAACGGCCCGCAGUGGCAAGUCAUCCUCUGUCACCGGCAG
rnacentral:sRNA from 2 species